rnacentral:rRNA from 1 species
CCUACGGGAGGCAGCAGUGGGGAAUAUUGGACAAUGGGGGCAACCCUGAUCCAGCCAUGCCGCGUGUGUGAAGAAGGCCCUCGGGUUGUAAAGCACUUUCAGUGAGGAAGAACGCUUGGUGGUUAAUACCCAUCAGGAAAGACAUCACUCACAGAAGAAGCACCGGCUAACUCCGUGCCAGCAGCCGCGGUAAUACGGAGGGUGCGAGCGUUAAUCGGAAUUACUGGGCGUAAAGCGCGCGUAGGUGGCUUGAUAAGCCGGUUGUGAAAGCCCCGGGCUCAACCUGGGAACGGCAUCCGGAACUGUCAAGCUAGAGUGCAGGAGAGGAAGGUAGAAUUCCCGGUGUAGCGGUGAAAUGCGUAGAGAUCGGGAGGAAUACCAGUGGCGAAGGCGGCCUUCUGGACUGACACUGACACUGAGGUGCGAAAGCGUGGGUAGCAAACAGGAUUAGAUACCCGAGUAGUC